CUGAAGGACUGUCAAGUCGCCAUUCAUGUGCUGUUUUUAGUUGGUGUGUGCACCAUCAUUUUUUGUGAGAUCACACAGAAUUUUGGUAGGUAUAAGGAUGUAUACGCUUUGAAUUUAUAUAUUUGUAUCAGGGUUGAUUAAUUAAUAGCGUACCGCACGUAACAAGUCACAUUUGCUCAUUAUUACUCAUGACAUUAGUAACUGUUGCUAAGGGGGUCAAACUCGCAUUUGUCCUUUAUGCAAGAUGUACAGUGCCCUCCAUAAUUAUUGGCACCCCUGAAAAAGAUGUGUUUUUUUAGUUUUUUAAUAAUUUUUUUAAAAUUCAAAUAAUAUGGGACCUUAAUGGAAAAAAUGAGAAAAAUCCAACCUUCCAUACAAGUGCAUUCAUUCAGUGGGGAAAAAAUCCCACAUAAAGAAAAAAAUAUUUGACAUCAAAUAAUGUGUGUCACAAUUAUUAGCACCCCUGGUGUUAAUACUUUGUACAACCCCCUUUUGCCAACAAAACAAGGUCUGGGGACUGAGAUGGCCAUGGGAGGAGCUUGAUUUUGUGUCUGGUGAACCAUUUCUGAGUAGAUUUGGCCAUAUGUAUAGGGUCAUUGUCUUCCUGAAAGACCCAGUGACGACCCAUCUUCCGCUUUCGGGCAGAGAGCAACAGAUUUUGAUUUAAAAUGUCCUGGUAUUUCAAACCAUUCAUGAUGCCAUGCACCCUAACAAGGUUCCCAGGGCCUUUGGAAGCGAAACAGCCCCACAGUAUCACUGACGCACCCCCAUACUUCACAGUGGGUCUGAGGUGCCUUUCAGCAUGCGCAUCUUUCGUGGCACGCCAGACCCACUUAGAGUGUUUGUUGCCAAAAAGCUCAAUCUUGGUCUCACACAAAAAUACACACAGUCCUAGGCUUCAACUGGAACCGUGUGCUUUGGUCAGAUGAGACCAGGUAAAGAACCACAGGGUAAAAGGUAAAGCUGUUAAAUCUGGAGCCUACCUGUAGGCAUGAACAGGCUUACUACAAAAAGACCAAGGCCAAACAUGGCUAAUUUAUUUAAAUAUCCGUAUUUUAGAAAAAAUAGGCCUACAUGACUGUUGUGACAUAAAAAUAUAUAUAUAUUUUUUCCCGGUCAUUCAUUUUCAGACAGGAGCAGCACGGCAAAACACCACGCUAAAAAAUAAGUAAAAAUAUCAAAAUGGCUUACCUCUUUGGGGCACGCUGUGGUAGGCAAUGGAUCAGCCCCAACAAAAUGUUUACUGUAUAUGAAGGUGAAUGGCUUCACCUUGCUGGCAUUAAACUGGUCUUUUGGAAGUCCGCACAAGUUGAUCCAAUGUUCACGUUUUUUCCCUCUGAGUUUUUGGCUUUGGGAAACGUAUGAAGAAAACAUCCUUCAUAUGUGGACGGUCGUAAUGACUACAAUCGAUUUUACAAGUACAAUAGCGGCAGUGUUUACUCGGCAUGUUCUUUUUUGAAAGAUUACCGGUAGACAACAAGCAGUACAAGCUAGGGAUGUCCCGAUCCAGGUUUUUGCACUUCCGAUCCGAUACCGAUAUUGUUUUGCACUUCCGAUCCGCUACCGAUAAUGGCCGAUACCGAUACCGGCCUAUCUGAGCAUGUAUUAAAGUUAUUUAGCCUCCUUACUUAGUUGUCAGACUCAUGUUGAUAAGGGUUUUAGUACUCUUGAUAACAACUAGCCAGCUGAAUUAGGUGAGUUUGAGUAACACACAAUGGUUGGUAACAAGAAACUGACCUGUUUAUUCAGUGACAAACACAAAAGAUUAUAAAUAACAAACAGAAAUGGCAUAGUCAGUCAGUAAAACGUGCAAAUAAUAUUGUAAACUGUCAGUGGAAAAUCCCACAAAUCCCCCAAGCUAUUAGAUGCUUUUAAUGUUUCGUGCAUUAGUUACAAAAAAUGUAUAAAAAGCCUCUCAGGUUUAAAUAAACGACUAUUUCAGUUUCAAGUUAACAUUUUAAAACAGUAAAUAAACUACUCAAGUCCUCAUUCUGUCUCAGCAGCUUUAAACUACAUUCAAUUAAUUUAAUUUUCCGAAUCAACUGUUAAAGUUGUUAAAAUUGCUCCCGUUAUUCCAUAAUUUCCCUUCUGUCUACUUUUGACAUGUGAAAGUUUUAAAACUGUUUUGAAGAUAGAUUCAAGUCAAGAUUUUGCCGAUUUAGGAGUAUUUUAGAUAAAAAGUUAAUUAGGUUCGCUUGGAAGGUUCAAUACAACAGCCUACAAGGGAAGUCUCCUGCUUUAAGAUGGCGGCUGUUUACUAACGCCGGCAAGUUUUCAAUGCAUGUGUUGCUAACGCUAUCGAGUCUGUCAUUGUGCAUCCAGUUCUACAUACAUAUAUCUUUUAGACAAUCAUGAUGUUUACUCUCGGGACACAAUGCAGUCCGUUUCUCAUUGCGUCCCGAAGACCCCGCUGUGUAUUAGUUCCGCUUUACUUGACAUAUUUCAAUAAUCGGAAUUUGGAUGUUUGUGAAUCGUUCUCGAAUCUUCCACGGCAGAAUCGCUCAAGGAUGUAAUGACGUCUGGGCAUGUUGUACCGUGGUUCUAAUGCUGCGUUCCAGAAAAGUGGGAUGUCGGACUUUUCCGACCUCCGACUAGGAAAAUAUCAUUGGAACACCACUCGAACUGGGACGUCCAAGUCGCGAAGUCGGAGAAAAAAUAACUACCCCGACUUCCAAGUUGUUUCAAUCUGACGUCACUGGACAAAAUGGCGCUCAAGAAAACGAAUGAUAACACAAUAAUGAAGUAAAUCAAGUUUAUUUGAGACGCCAUGUAUUUUUUUUUCCUCAUACAGUGAAUUAUCUUUGUUGUGCUAUGUUUUUAUAUUGACGAUCAGCAAAGGAAUUGUAACUAAAAAAAAGGCAGUUUACAGUGUGGGCUGUAACGCAGCCGUCGUUUUUCCUCUACUAUUUGAUCGCUUAUAGGAAGGCAGGUUCACUGGAGGUCAAAAUGUCUUUGGAUGGCCAAAAUAAAAAACACCUCGUCGCGAUCAGCCAUCUUUGUUGUUUACAUUUGCUUGGAACGCUUUGAGGUCGGAACUGGUACCAUCCGAGUGGGAUAAAUCCGACUUCCCACUUCUCUGGAAUGCAGCAUAAUGUGUUGGAUGGUGCGUCUAUACUCACGAGAGAUAAUGCCUCGUCAUCCAGAAUGAAUUCUUAAUUCUUCUUCUUGCAAUGAAUUCUUGCAAUGACUCUUGUUAUUCCCUGGGCUUUGGGACUGUCGAGUGCCAGUUUGUCACGCAUAGCAAAAGUUUCUGCCAGUGUUAGUUGCGUAGGACCUUUCUUUUUGUCUUCGGUUUUCAUAACAUACUCCUUAUAUUGUUUGUGGUGGUAUGUCGCUAAAUGCUUGAUUAGGUUGGUUGUAUUAAAACUUCUUACAGCUUUACCACCACGCUUGACUUUGUGGCAUAUGUUGCACUCUGCCUCUUCGUCUUUGUCGUCCUUUAAGGUGAAAUGAUCCCACACAGCUGACAUUUUUACCGACAAAGUCUCUCGGUAAAUUGGGAGACGGUAACGUAGUGUGUUGAAGGUGUGCCGUAAAAUGCGGACCGGAUUUUAGGGAAACCAAAGCAAAAACUGGAAUGGAUUAUGUAUAUCGGUGCGCUGGAAAACCCGGACCGGAUUUUCAAAAAACUGGAUCGGAAUUUUUCCGUGUCGGUCGAUCCGAUACCGAUGCACAUUUUUUUGCCCAUAUCGGCGUCCGAUCCAAUCCAAAUAUCUGAUCGGGACAUCUCUAGUACAAGCAUGGGUUGUAUGCGAGCGCGCUUCUAUGUUGGCCCUCUUCCAGUUUAUGAUGAUGACGUCAUGCAGCUUUGCAGUCUAGAAAUAGCAUUUGUGCGGUACGCUUUUACAGACUUAUGUUUGCCUGUUUAUUAAGAGUUAGCCAAUGGAGGGUACGCAUGCACUUCAUCGCAGCCUUCAGCCUGUAUAGCAAACUAGUUCUUGUCCCGGGAAAAAAACAAACACUACAUACUUAACAAAUCAAUGGUUAUAUGUCAAUUUAUAAAGUAAAUAGCCCAAAAAACUGUAACAACUCAAAUCCUGAUAAGCCUUAUCACUCCACGGAAAGAUGGUGACAUGACUGUUUACAAACUGGACAGCUGGAUAGCUUUAACAUGAGAAUGAACAAGGCCACAUGCUACAUCUCUAAAAUGUCUUGCAAAACUUGACAUAACAAAAACAGCAACACAAUCAUCAGAUUAAAAAAAAAAAAAAAAAAAACAUUUUUACUUGCUCAAACAGAAAAGCAAAUGGUGUCAAAUUAUGUAGUAAAUUAAAGUAAGUGAGGUAAAAACGGUCUUAUUUGUUGUAUAAUUUUUCAUCAAAUAAUUAAAAAUGUGUUAUAUCAUUGAAUUUUGAUAUCGUGAUAUAAAAUGGCCCAUUUCAGGAUAGGUUUAUUUUUUCAUGUUGUACAGUGCUACUUCAAACUAAUGAACUAAACUUCUUACUGCCUUACGUACCAACCUGCAAGAUAAAAAAGAUAAUGUUUCCCAUCAACUCUUGUCAAACAAAUACUGAAUUGUAUUCUGUGGUGAGUCCACAUCAUAAUUCCUCUAUGUGAAAGAUCACAUGAUGCGUCUGCUGCUGAAUCAAUGUGAACACCUCUUUGUGGUCGCAACUCUCCUGUGUUUGCUCAUAGGGAUUGCUCACAUUCCUGAUAUGCUAACUUGACCAACGUGCCCCAAAGGAGUCACUCACCUCGUUGACCCGUGCCCACUUUAAAAUAUGCACAUUGAGUAUCCGUAACAUUAGAUCUGGCAUUUGUCUCUUUGAUUUUUACACUGAAAAAUAUUACCAGUGCCAUUGCCGUGUGUGGGUUCAACCACCCCUGAAAUUGAUUAUUCUAACAUUUUGCACCUUGUUAUGGAGAAGACUAUCAUCAUUAACGCAAUUAAAAUAUCAUGCCACGCACUGAUGUAUGAAAAAUUCUUGGACACUCACCAUUGCUUUUAAAACAACAGACUGUUAGUGUUAACCAGUGUUGUUAAUAACGGUGUUACAAUAUUACAGCGUUGCUAACGGCGUUAUAUUUUUCAGUAGUGAGUAAUCUAAUUAAUUACUUUUUGCAUCUUGGCAACGCCGUUACCGUUACUGAGGAUGGAAAGACGUGCGUUACCAUGCGUUACUAUAUUGGUUGAAUGACGCGAGAAAAGGCUGAGGGAGACGGACUCACCGAGACGACAGAGCAGAGCAGGAGUGGGGAGGAGGCGAAAAAGUUGUGAUGCUGAGCAAACACGAUGCUAAGUGGCUCCGAUAAUACUGUACCUGACUAUAGCCGAUAGCCUACAAACUACGCCCACUUGAUAUGGUAGAUGUGGUAGAUAUCACAUAUAUAUAGAACUAGAUGCGACAUGACAGACACGGCGGCGUUAGCAACAUGUACAGUAUAGGAACUAGAUGGGUUAGUAAAAGCGUAAGUUCAGAAUUUUUGACAUCAGGCUUAAUCUUCGAUUUAAGGGGGGGUUAAUUAGUCAGUGGAGAUGAUUGAAAAAAUUCCGUAUCGUUUGUUAGUCUUUUAUUAUUUUCAGGGUUCCUCAGUUAUUAUGCUAAUGAAAGUCAAUAUGGCCAAUUAGCAUGCUAAUAAACACCGAUAUUCACAGCUCUAACAUAGUCAAAUAAAUUCAAAACGCAGCUCAAUGUUCAAAAACCCGCUGCAUGUCUCACCAAACUGUCGUAAUUCAUUUAAUUCAGCAGGACUAUUUUUCCAUAUGCGUAAUGGCACCACAAUAGAGGGUAGUGCUAUGGCCACUCGUCUUCACUUCAGUCUGCUAUGCAGCGUGUUCACGGAAGGACGUCAACAUGGUGAAAUGUGCUUUUAGAAGCUGUGGAAACAUACAGAAGAAAUGGACAAAGGAAAGUUUCCACCGCUUGCCUGUGAAGAACGAGGAACUAUAUAAAAACUGGUUACUCUGCUGGAUAUGACAUACACACACACCGGUGGAAAAAGUACUGCUUUGGAGUAUUUGCGGCGCGCAUUUUCAUCGGUAUCCUCUCCUGCAACCAAAUGCUGUGCCUUCGACUGUCCAAACGUCUUCAAGAGCUUCUGAUAAACAGGUGACCUGUUGAUCCUGAAGGUAUACCCAGAAAGAGGCUCCACUUUGUUUUCAACUCCAUGAAGGCAAGGACGCCAGCAAGCGAGGAAUGCUGGUGGGACUUUGAGAUACAGCUUGGAGUUUCCAAAGCAAACGAAAAAGAUGGGUUGCCUGGAGGAGUUACGAGCCAACAACGCAGACAUUCUGACAGAAUUUGGUGGCGCAUGUCCUGGAAAGACUGCAGGAUUCAUCAGUGAAGUUUGCUGAUCCAGACUUUUAUUUCAAGCCUCGAACUUCAAUUCUCCAAACCAUUGCAGGCAUCAAAAGGCCUGAUAAAGAAAGUCAUUUUACAUGUCAGUAGAUUUAAAAAAUAAGUAGGCUGACAUUUUCCUUUUUUUUAAUAGAUACAAUGGGGAGA